rnacentral:rRNA from 1 species
AUUGAACGCUGGCGGCAUGCCUAACACAUGCAAGUCGAACGAGGUUCUAGGUGCUUGCACCGAAAAACCUAGUGGCGGACGGGUGAGUAAUACGUAGGAAUCUGCCCUUAAGUGGGGGAUAGUCCGGGGAAACCCAGUUUAAUACCGCAUGAUCUCGCAAGAGCAAAGCAGGGGACCUUUCGGGGCCUUGCGCUUUUGGAGGAGCCUACGUCGGAUUAGCUAGUUGGUAGGGUAAAGGCCUACCAAGGCAAUGAUCCGUAACUGGUCUGAGAGGAUGAUCAGUCACACCGGAACUGAGACACGGUCCGG